UACACAAAGGAAAAAUGGGCUGAGA
rnacentral:piRNA from 1 species